UACGAAGGGGGCUAGCGUUGCUCGGAAUCACUGGGCGUAAAGGGUGCGUAGGCGGGUCUUUAAGUCAGGGGUGAAAUCCUGGAGCUCAACUCCAGAACUGCCUUUGAUACUGAGGAUCUUGAGUUCGGGAGAGGUGAGUGGAACUGCGAGUGUAGAGGUGAAGUUCGUAGAUAUUCGCAAGAACACCAGUGGCGAAGGCGGCUCACUGGCCCGAUACUGACGCUGAGACGCGAAAGCGUGGGGAGCAAACAGG
rnacentral:rRNA from 1 species